UCAGUGUCAUAACAGUAAAGAAAAAUACAUUUGUAUUUAAAGAGGCUGGUUGAAGUGUCCCAUGAACAGAAUAGCUCCGGUUCCUUUGUGCUGGAUAAGGAAGAGGAAAGGUCGAUCCAAAGUGAGCUCCUCUACCGCCAUUCGAGAGAACAUCACAGCAGCUAAAAGCACAAGAAAAGCUUCACAGUCUGGAAAACCUUGGACACGCAUAGCCUCUCAUCGCCUGAAGAGUUCAAGGAAACAAGACAAGGUUUUUCACGGGACACAUUUAUUUUUCUAUUAGAAAUGGCAACAGCGGAGGAUGAAUGUCCCAUAACAAGAAGAUACAGAAAAAGAAGAAGCUUAUCGACUACAAAGGCGGAUGCGCGUGCAUUUUCAGGACUUAUGCAGAUCCCAAAUACAGAUCAGCAUGUACCAGAAGGUUGAAGCCCAUGGCGGCCGUCAUGGCCUUGCGGGUGUUUCUGGCGGCACCCAGCUGAGCCAUGGCCAGCACGGAGGAGACGCCGUAGGGGGACAAGACCACAUUGCUGUCCCCGGUGGCUCUUGCCAAGUGGGAGAAGACCUUCAGCCCAAAGUCGGUGUGCUUGUCUGACAGCGAUGCUUGUCCGCCUCUGCCAGUGCUCAGUAGGACCACGAGGAGAACGUACGUGCAAAACAUCCUGUGUGGAAAAAGUAUUAAUUGUACAUUGUUGUACUCUUAAAUUGUACCGUGAGUCAAAUCAGUGAUAUAAAAAAAUGAUAAUAAUCGAAAAAUACGUUUAAAAAUAUAUAAAAAUGGCAAAUAGUCUAGAUUUUUGCAAAAAAGUGUAGUAAAUAUGUUAUUUUAAAUGUACUAAAACAUACUUGUACACAACUACAGUUAACUUGGCACUAAUAACAAAUGUAAACCUUAAACAAUGCUUCAAAUCUUCCAAAAUAAGUUUAAGAACAAUAUUAUUCUUAAUAGUGUUAUGAUAAUAAAUGAAUAAAAAUAAACAAAACGUUGUUCGAGAAAUAAUUGUAUUUUUAAUAUAUUCAAACAUACUAAAUUAUUGAUGAAUUUCUUUCUUUCUUUCUUUCUUUUAGUUUAUUUCGAACAUGAACACAUUUACAUCAUAAUACAUCACACAAUUUCAUAUCAUUUCAUUUACAUCAUGCCCGAAAAGGAGUAGGAAGAAGCAAAGAUUAUUUAAUCCUACCCCUUUCCCACUUCAAAGCAUUUACAAUUAUAUAAAAUCAUUUACUGACCUUUUUAUAUAAUAAAAUAACAUCUAUGAAUUAGUAUAAACAACAGUUUGUAAUAUGUAAUUAAUUAAUUCAGUCAUUAUUAACAUACUGAGAUGAAGAAUAUUUUCAAUAAGGUUGGAAGUUUUUCUCAUAAUUCUUCUUCUUUGUACUUUGUAAGCACUAUUAAUUUAAACAACCUCUUAAACUGGAUCAUGUCAGUACAAUUUUUAACUUCUUUACUUAAUCCAUUCCAUAAUUUAAUUCCACAUACUGUUAUGCCAAAAGUUUUAAGUGUUGUACGUGCAUAUAAAUGUUUUAAAUUAUUUUUUCCUCUAAGGUUAUAUUUCUCCUCUUUAGUUGAGAAGAAAUGUUGUACAUUCUUUGGUAGCAGGUUAUAGAUUGCUUUGUACAUCAUUUUAGCUGUUUGCAAUUUUACCAAAUCACCAAACUUUAAUAUUUUAGACUUAAUAAAUAAAGGGUUUGUAUGUUCUCUAUAUCCAACAUUAUGUAUUAUUCUAACUGAUCUUUUUUGUAACAUGGUUAACGAAUGUAGCGCACAUUUGUAGUUAUUUCCCCAUAUUUCUGCACAAUAACUCAGAUAUGGUAACACUAGUGAGCAGUAGAGAAUAUGAAGUGAUUUUUGGCCCAGGACGUGUUUUGUUUUAUUCAUUAUUGAAAUGUUUUUUGCUACCUUAUGUUGUAUGUUUUGUAUAUGAGAUUUCCAGUUCAUUUUAUCAUCUAUUAAUACUCCCAAAAAUCUGGUUUCUUUUACCCUUUCGAUGUCUACUCCGUCUAUUUGUAUUUGCGUAUGAUGCUCUUUCCUACUAUUACCAAAUAGCAUUAUUUUAGUUUUACUGAAAUUCAAAGAUAGUCUGUUUUUG